rnacentral:rRNA from 1 species
UACGUAGGGCGCAAGCGUUGUCCGGAAUUAUUGGGCGUAAAGAGCUCGUAGGCGGUCUGUCGCGUCGGCUGUGAAAACCCGAGGCUCAACCCUGGGCCUGCUUCCGAUACGGGCAGACUAGAGGUAUGCAGGGGAGAAUGGAAUUCCUGGUGUAGCGGUGAAAUGCGCAGAUAUCAGGAGGAACACCGGUGGCGAAGGCGGUUCUCUGGGCAUUACCUGACGCUGAGGAGCGAAAGUGUGGGGAGCGAACAGG